GAGGAGUUCAGAAGGCUUUAUCAGGUUUGCGCUACCAGUUCAUCUUGUGCUCACUGAUAGCUGAGAACUUGGUGUUUAUCAGGUCAUGGCAAAGUGAAAUUAGAAAACACUAAAUCUUGCUUUCCGUGACUUCAGUGAACCACUGAACCUAAGACCAGCACAAACACCUUCAUCUCAGGAGACGGCAGGAACAUCCAGGGAUAACUGAGGGUCUUUGUCUCUUGAAAUGCAAGUGGAAACUGAUGAAGUCCAGUGGCAGGAAAGUUAAAUGUGCAGGGAGAGUGGAUGCUCACGGGAGAGCAAAUAGGCAGGUAAGGGGAUAGUGCACGUACCAAGAGUACUGCACACUAUCGUUGUGCUCUGGCACAUGUUAUUGUGAGAACACAUGGGGUCACAUUUCGUACUGCAGCACCAGGACCAAGGUUGCUGUGCCUGAAAAGAGCCUCAGAUCACAAAACUACCUCAGAUCACAGGGCUUUAGCUUUUCAGCCCUUCCCUUUGGAGCGGUGGGAAAGCCUGGCCUAUCAGGGAGGUGUUUUCUUCGCGAAGGCCCGCGGCGUGUUGGGCGCUUGGUACUGCAGCGGCACCGUGUGGCUGUGGGUGGCACCGUGUGGCUGUGGGUGGCACUGUGUGGCUGUAGGUGGCACCGGCUCCCCCGCGCGGGGCCGCGGCUCAGGCGGGAGGAGAGCCCGGAGCAGCCUGGCCAGCCCGGGCGCGGGACCGUUCUGUAAUUCAUAACGUCAGGUCCCAGCUGGGCCAAAGACAACAGCAUCUGGAAAAAGAGAGCAGCAAGCCAGGUAUCCGUGGCCUGGAGCACUCUGCAGCCCCCCGGCAUGCUCUGCUGCCAUGUGUGCAGGUCUACCAGCUGCCAGGAGUCUGUCUCAGUACCAAGAGAGCCUCCAAAACAAAACACAUCUCUGAUGGAUCUUCAAAACACCUAAAGUUUGUCACAGGUGCUGUGACCUCCCUCCUGGCUGGCAUACCUGUGACACUUCACCUCCUGUGAAGGCUGCUGAGACAAGCGGUCACUGUGAGACGGAGGUGUGGAAAGUGGUGGAUCAAGUGUGCUGCAGCUGGCUGAAAAGAAGAGAAAUCAAUAAUCUGCAGCAGAGCAGCAAUCUCUGGAUGUCUGAUUGCAGCUGACAGGUACAAUCACGAGUGGCAGCAACAGUGACAGCGGGUCUCACUGAGCAGCCGAGCCUGAGGACCAGGAGGGUAAUGGUUACCUCCAGAGCCGAGUUCCAGAGGCUCGGCUCCGUGUCUCCGCCGAGGCACUGCCGCCGCUCUGUGGCCCCGGGCGGAGCUGACACGCCCCGAGGCUGCGAGGCUGCGUCCGGUGAAGCGCGUCCCCUUCGCAUCACUUCCACUGCCCACGGAGCCUAGAUCAGCUGAAAGAGCCCUUCAUCCUGCUAAUGCUGAGUUGGGCUGAGGUCCUGCACAUUUGCUGGAGGGGCUGAGACGAAUCUGCAUCGAGGGAUCUGCACAGUGAGGAGAUGGCUCUUGGCCGGGGGUGCACCCAGCUCAGCCACCCACCUUUCCCUCCUUGGAAAGGAGACAGCGCUGGUCAGUCUCUGAGGACUCUUAAGGACUGUCUCUCGCUAUCCUGAGAGUUUGGGCUCUGACAAUUCACAUCAGAUCCCAGUUCAUCUGUGAGGCACAGGCAUUUUAAAUGUGUGCUGUGGUAACGGUGUUAGUCACCUGGUAGAUUAACCCUCAGCAAGAGGCAGAACGGGAGCUCACUGACCGAGAGAGAGGGAGCACUCCUGUUCCCAGGUGUCCUGACAGGCAUUACCAAGACACGAGCCUGGUUGAAAAGGCAAGCAGAUGAUUAUACUUCAUUCCUGUAUUUCCAGUGCCAUCUUCUGUACAGAAGAGGAAACCUCAGAGUUCAGCAGCUCUGAGGAAUGAAACUGGAAAAUUCUUCCCCCACCCACGUGGAAAAACUCAGUCACUAUUGAAAUUAAACACUGAAGGAUUUACAUUUUCAGUAGCUCAACAGCACACUGAGUUGUGUGCUAGAGACACCCACAGGUGCCAAAACCUUCUAAUUUUACAAAGAAAGUAUAUUGGCCUCCCUUUGUGUUUGUCAUAAAUUCGUGCAGUUUCUGGGAUGGGAUGUAAUGGGUGACAGAAAUAAACAUCCACUAUUAUCAAAAAAGUAAAGCAUAAGUCUGGCUAUAAAUAUCAAAACCUCAUGUCAAAUAAAUUCAUAGGGCCAUGAUUAAAGUAUGUGAUCAGGUAUAGUCGUUUUUCUUCUCUCUGUCAUCCUGAGCUUUUCCCAGAGAUUUUCAGCCCAAGACUGCUGUGGGGCUGCAGUGUGCUGGCUGUGCCAAGGAACACACACCUCAUCCUUGAAGACUACACUGCAUCCAACCACACAGUCAAAGGACUGCAGGAAACAUUUGCACUGAAUAGCUUUUUUAUAUUGUAUCAAGAGUUUGCAAAUAUUUAAAAAAACCCUGAAACAAAAACAAGUUGGAUUUUCUUGUCCCUAAUUUCAAUUUCAAAUAUUAAGAACAAACCUGAUUUUUAUCACUUGAUGCCUUGCUUGGUUGAACCACACAGAGCCAUUGUCAAAGCUGGAUCCAGAGCAGUAGCUUUGAAGAGCCGCAUCUCUGGAAGUGUUCAAGGCCAGACUGGAUAAGGCUUUGAGCACCUGAGCCUAAUGGAUGUUCUUAUUAGGGGUGAGUAGGUGAACUUUAAACGUCUCUCCUAACCCAAAGCAUUCUGUGAUUUCAUUCAUCCUUCUACUUUCCUACAGUGCCUAGAAAAUUACUUGAUUACUUGAUUAAUUACAUUCAGGAGGUUUUCCACUAAGCACUAUUCAGCAUGAUUAUCUCCAGACUUUCAUUAAAGAGACAGACAAGGUCUUAUCAUCUUCCCUAAUAGCUGCCCCAUGCUGCCCUGCCAGAUCUGAUAAGCUCUGAAGAUGAUUUGGAACAGCCUUAGAACAUCCAACCACUUAAUUGGGGUCAGUGUCUUCACGUUUGCAGAUGCUUCUGCGACUGAAUGAUCAAAUUACUCUCCUGUGUGAUCAGGACGAGCAGUCCAUGGCACUGUGAGCAUCCCUACAGGAGACAGAGAAGGUGCUCGGGCAGUGAAGUCAUCCUCCCGUGACUCUGGGCCUGUGGCAGGGCCACACUGGGCAGCAGCACUGUGUCCCCAGCUCUGGCUCUGGUCACAUCUGCAAUUUGCUGGCCAAAUCAGUUGAGGACUCUGCCCUGCAGGCUGUGAAAGCUGGAACUGAGUGAAUUAAAGACUCCAAGCAAACUCCUCUGAAACCUGGAUUUAGGUUCUUGUUUCCACAACACUCACAGUUUGUUUAAACUAUGGAAGUGAGUGAAGCAAUUUUGGCUGAGCACCCUGUUUCGAGUUUGUUUUCCAGUUGUCUGCAGUAUUUGAGUCUCCCUCCCACCAAACUUUAGAAUCCAGAUUCUGUGGGAAACUUUCCAAAUUCUGGCUGGAAUACUGAACCAUUAAUUCCCAACUUGCCCAUCUGCCAGGUUUAGAAAAGAUUUCUUUAAAUCCUUUAAAACAUAUGUCUAAACUGCUUGUUUAUCUGUCAACAUUGUCUCACACUGUUUAAUUUUAAAGCUUAACUUUUUAAACCUCUCAAGGCUGACCCUGCUCUGAACAUGAGGAGAUGUCAGUAACUUUGCACCAUGUAACAACUGCCUGUGGUACCAGACUGGCUGCCUGCCCACUGACCACACACCGAGGUGCUCAGAUUCUCCUACAACAGCCUUUUCCCUAACCCCUGCUAAAAUAUAUAUUUAAAAAAAAAAUGGCUGAGGAAGGAGAAAAUGCAAUUUCCUUGUUAGCUUACCCAAGCUGUCCAGAGGCAAUGCUGGAGCUUGAUGCCCUGAGGGGAGCUCAGCUGGUGCAGACAGACAGAAUUGUUGCCUGUUUAUGUGCUUUGCCACAGGGGCUGGCUGCUGACAGGACCAGUUCAUAUGGAGCUUUAUGGGACACCAAUUUCAGUUCAGACAGAACAGUUCUCUUGGUUAAAUGGCUGAGUGUUUGCAGAAGAGUUGCUGGCUCCUCUCGGCUCCCCCAGUCUCAAGAGUUGGGAGCACCAGCAGAGAUUUCCCCAUUUAAGCAUCCCUGUGCUCCAGUAUUCCUCUGCUUCCACUGCCAGAGCGU